UUCAGAAUUUUAAAAUAUCUAAAAGUAUUUUAAAACCAAUUAAAACAAAGGAGGAAAGAGAAAAUUCAAGAAAAAUAAAAAAUCAAGGAAAUAAAAUGUUGAAAAACAAAAGUCAGAUAAAGAAAAAUAAAAGAGAAUUUUAGAAAUUAUUUUGGUAUUUUUUGGAUGUAAAAUGAAUUUUCAACGAAUUUUAAAAGAAAAUAAAAUUUAG
rnacentral:lncRNA from 1 species